UCUUUCUCUCUCUAAAAGUUUCUCUCUCUAGAAUUUACGAUUAAACUUCGACGGAUCAUAACUUUUGAUCCGUAACUCUGAUUUUGAAUCCGUGAAGAGCUACGGGUUCGUAUCGAUGUCCUCUUCCUAUUCUUGAAAUUUGGGUUAGAUCCAACGGUAAUUUUUAGAUGGCUCAUUUUAGGAGGCUCAGUUUACGAUCGGUAUUCGUGGUGGAGUUUCGCUUUGUCGAGGUGAGUGGGUUUGUGUAAUAUGUUUAAAAUAUUCUUAUUUGCUAUUAAAAUAAUCGAAAAAACAUGAUUUUGAGCUAUUUAGGAAAUAUCUCUCUAUUUUUAUAGUGAAGCAUGUCUAUUUACGAAAUAUGUGGAGUUUAUAUAUUAUUAUGUGUUGGAUCCAUUGUUUAACUAGUCAUGGAACAUGUGAACUUCAUGAUUGGUUAUGCCGAAGUAAGGAUGUGACACACAGAGGUAUAGGAUUUGAAGGUCAUUAGGUUCCCGUGGGGAUCACUAAAUUGAAGGAUAUCCAAUAAGAAAUGAUUGUGCAAUGUGAUGAAUUGUUUGAAGUGAUGUGUAUACGAUAUACGUAUUUUGUAGCAUGUGUAAAAUGACAUGGUUUUGCGGGCAUAUUACACUAGUCUACUCACUGAGCGCAUGGUUAUGCUCACCCACUCAUCUCUAAUAUUUUGCAGAAAAGUACUUAGAUUUGAUCGAGCUGGGAAAUGGUAGCCGACGAGCCUAGAAGAUAGUGUUUUUAUUUUAUUCCGCUUUGUAACACUCGUUCACGCCUCGGAAUCGGCGUCCGGUGUUUAAAACUCACUGACGUCGGGACCGGGGUGUGACAUUUUCUCUGCCUACUCGGUUAGAUUGCUAUAGGAUUUAAUUCGGUUUCCUCGACAAUCUCAAUUUAAAUAGCAAAUUCUUGGAAAUUAUCAAAUAAUCCAUGAUCUCAAUUUUCUCCUCUAGCAGGUAUAUGGCGUACUGUCUAUGUUUCAUAUAUAUGGCGUACUGGCGGAUGAUUUUAACAAACUGCUUCACACAAUUAACAUUGCACUUCACAAAUCUAGUAAUAUUGCUCAUGCUUUUGCACAGCUUAAUUGUGAUCAUAUGUGUGAGUUGGUUAUUGGUAAUUGAAAUAUAAGAGCCUCAUCCUUUGGAUAUUGAAACAAGACACAUUCACCGACAAUUUAUUAACUCGUUGAGACAGUAGAACUUGGCACCAAUACCUAUCUAUGCAAAAGAAAUGAAGGGGAAGUUUGGGUAGUGCAGGCAAUUAGAAUACAAUUCAGAGGAAAUAAUAUUGCUAGCUAGGUGAACCAAAUUUUAAUUGGUAAUCCACAUGAAGUUUAUCUUACAUGUAAAAUGUUGUAGCACAACAACAUAAUUUAACAAAAC
rnacentral:lncRNA from 1 species